UCGAGAAUUUUUCUCAAUGGGGGAAACCCUGAAGGAGCGACGCCGCGUGGAGGAUGAAGGUUUUCGGAUUGUAAACUCCUGUCAUUGGUGAACAAAGCCUGCCGGUAACUACGGCCAGGUUUGCUAGUAGCCGAAGAGGAAGGGACGGCUAACUCUGUGCCAGCAGCCGCGGUAAUACAGAGGUCCCGAGCGUUGUUCGGAUUCAUUGGGCGUAAAGGGUGCGUAGGCGGCGGGGCAAGUCUGAUGUGAAAUCCCGGGGCUCAACCCCGGAACUGCAUUGGAUACUGCCUUGCUAGAGUACUGGAGAGGGAACUGGAAUUUACGGUGUAGCAGUGAAAUGCGUAGAGAUCGUAAGGAAGGCCAGUGGCGAAGGCGAGUUCCUGGACAGUUACUGACGCUGAGGCACGAAGGCCAGGGGAGCAAACG
rnacentral:rRNA from 1 species